AUUCCUACGGGAGGCAGCAGGGGGGAAUAUUGGACAAUGGGCGAAAGCCUGAUCCAGCCAUGCCGCGUGUGUGAAGAAGGUCUUCGGAUUGUAAAGCACUUUAAGUUGGGAGGAAGGGCAGUAAGUUAAUACCUUGCUGUUUUGACGUUACCGACAGAAUAAGCACCGGCUAACUCUGUGCCAGCAGCCGCGGUAAUAAU
rnacentral:rRNA from 1 species